CGGCCGGGCCCGGCUGCUGGUCCUUACGCGGCGGCUGGGGUGGCGGCGGCUGCGGCGGCGAGACGCGCUGGUAGAGCGGCGGCGGAGGGGGCGGCUGCGGCGGCGGGGGGCAGUUUCUCCGGGAUUAAGCGAGAAGUCGCGGCGGAAAAGGCCCAGCCGGAACGAGAUUUAUGGCGGGGGAAUCCUGGAGGAGGAAGUGCGCAUGCGUAGAUAGAGCAACACCGCCCUCUGCGCUAGUCCCCCUUCACCAUCGACCCUCGGGUCCAGCAUGGAAGCCCUAAGUGACGUCAACCUUUAUUCCCAUGGUAACGCGGAACCUUGGGGCGGGAGCACGGGAGGGGCUGAUGCGCGCCGGAAAACCGGCUCCGUUACGCCGCAGUAUUUCUGCCGCUCCCGACAGCCCUGCAGUUGGCUUUGGAUAUGGUAAACCUAAGGAAAGUAAAGCUCAGUGAGGUGGGGUGGCUCACCCAGUCCAACGGCAGAUUGCAGGGACUCCUCUUCACCACAUCUUGUCCAUUCCCUCACUUGCAAGGGUCUCCUGUGCACUGGCAGUGAGCAGGUGCUGGACAUGCCACAGGGAACACGGCAGAUCCUCCACCGUCCCAAAGCACACAUCAUGGCGCUCCCCUUGACUUUCACCAGGACGACUCUGGGUACAGGCCAGUUAUCUGAACAUCCUGGGGGGGUCCAUGUCCCUUCUACUUGUCCUCAAGAAUGACUUAAAGAGUCUGGUCUGGCCCUCCCACAGGUUUCUGCCCAUGGAGGGCAACUGGACAGCGGCUAUCACCACAACAAAUGCAGCCACCCCUGACUCAUUAAUACUACUUCCAGGAACUUAUCCUCUAGAAAUGCUUGAAUAUGUACAGAGGGGCACCGGCCUAAGAAUAUUACAGCAUUGUUUGUAAUAUAAAAAUAGUAAAAACAACUCAAGUUUCCACCAAUAGGGAUCUCACUGCAGGUCAUUAACAUUUGUUAUGGGAAACAUACACAAUGGAAUACCACUAGCUGUAAAAAAAAAAUUUUUUUUGGCUGGGCGCGGUGGCUCAAGCCUGUAAUCCCAGCACUUUGGGAGGCCG